rnacentral:rRNA from 1 species
UACAGAGGGUGCAAGCGUUAAUCGGAAUUACUGGGCGUAAAGGGCGCGUAGGUGGGUGAAUAAGUCUGAUGUGAAAGACCUGGGCUCAACCGAGGGAUUGCAUUGGAUACUGUGCAUCUAGAGUGAAUCAGAGGAUAGCGGAAUUUCCGGUGUAGCGGUGAAAUGCGUAGAUAUCGGAAAGAACACCAGUGGCGAAGGCGGCUAUCUGGGAUUCAACUGACACUGAGGCGCGAAAGCGUGGGGAGCAAACAGG